rnacentral:ncRNA from 1 species
CCUUGGGAGUGCUAAGAAAAUACAAGUAGAGGUUUACCUUGAAAGUAAGCACAUUGAAUAAGGAA